rnacentral:rRNA from 1 species
CAGCCGCCGCGGUAAAACGUAGGUGGCAAGCGUUGUCCGGAAUUAUUGGGCGUAAAGGGCUCGCAGGCGGUUUCUUAAGUCUGAUGUGAAAGCCCCCGGCUCAACCGGGGAGGGUCAUUGGAAACUGGGAAACUUGAGUGCAGAAGAGGAGAGUGGAAUUCCACGUGUAGCGGUGAAAUGCGUAGAGAUGUGGAGGAACACCAGUGGCGAAGGCGACUCUCUGGUCUGUAACUGACGCUGAGGAGCGAAAGCGUGGGGAGCGAACAGGAUUAGAUACCCCAGUAGUCCCUGUCUCUUAUAA